rnacentral:rRNA from 1 species
AGCGAACGCUGGCGGCAGGCCUAACACAUGCAAGUCGAACGAAGUCUUCGGACUUAGUGGCGGACGGGUGAGUAACACGUGGGAACGUGCCUUUCGGUUCGGAAUAACUCAGGGAAACUUGCGCUAAUACCCAAUGUGCCCUGCGUGGGAAAGAUUUAUCGCCUGUAGAGCGGCCCGCGUCUGAUUAGCUAGUUGGUGAGGUAAAGGCUCACCAAGGCGACGAUCAGUAGCUGGUCUGAGAGGAGGAUCAGCCACAUUGGGACUGAGACACGGCCCAAACUCCUACGGGAGGCAGCAGUGGGGAAUCUUGCGCAAUGGGCGGAAGCCUGACGCAGCCAUGCCGCGUGAAUGAUGAAGGUCUUAGGAUUGUAAAAUUCUUUCACCGGGGACGAUAAUGACGGUACCCGGAGGAGAAGCCCCGGCUAACUUCGUGCCAGCCGCCGCGGUAA